ACCCUUUUUUUUUUUCUUUUGGUGUGUCCAUAGAGCACAUUUCCAAGAUUAAUCGUUCGGUUUUAAACUUGGAAGCAUGAGGCAUGCUGGGAUUUCAGCUGAGGUCAAGCACCAAUGUACCGAGCUGUUACUGUUACGCUCUCAGGGUACUCUGUGUUGCUCUCAACAAGGGGGGGAAGGCAAAAAAAAUUUAAAAAAAAUCAAAAUCGAGACGCUCUAUGCAGUAGCCUGCUGCAAAAAAAUCUCCCUGUUUUACCACAGGCGUGAUGUUAAUAUUCCUCCAUAUUGAAACGUCUGUAUUUAUGGUUUUAUUCGCCUGUAUUAAUUAAUGCGGCUGGGGAUGGCCACGCACACCUCAAGAACUGUAUUUACAUCCAUAUCGUGUAUAUCUUAUCUACACACGCAUAUAUAAUAAUCACCCUGUGUGUACACACAUACACCCCCAUAUCUGGAUCAGCUGGAAAAUUAUCUCGUGAAUAUAUAUACACACACAUUAAAAAAAAGAAAAAAAAAUUAGAAAAAAAAAUCUCAGCGGUAUGAACGCCGAUUUUAAUUUGAUUUUUAUACAGAAAAUGGCCAUAACCACCGCCCUACAUCAGCCGAUGGAGCCUAAGGAGGAGAAAUAGACUUAUUUUUUCCUUAAAAGAUCUUUAAACACUAUUGUAUGUGUGUGUAUACGGCUCUAAAUAUACACACCCGCGCUCACACGUAUACACAUAGAGAGAGGAUAUAUUUCUGAAAUAAAAUAAAGAUGUCAAAGCACAACUCACAGCUCCCAAGAGCCUAACCCGUGGAUUUAAAAGCUAAACAUCACAAGUUAGGGUCUCAGGGAUUGAGAGGGGCGCAACAAACUAGUCCUUGCAAAAAAAAAAAAAUUAAAAAAUAAAAAUACCAAAAUCAACGGGGAUCAAAAAAUAAUAAUCAUAAAAAAAGAGAUCAAAAGGAGAAAGAGGAAAAGAAUAGCAGGCAAGUUCAAUUCAUGGCUCAAGAUUACAAAACAGGACACACAGGUGGAAGGAAAGAGCUUCUCUAAGGACCCUCUGUUGAGAGAAUACAUUCCAUUUUUAAUCGUUUAUACAAAAAAAAAUAAUAAUAAUGACAUGGCGCGGCAGGUUCCUUACAGCUCCCAACAAGGUCGCUUGCGACAAAUACACGAAAAGUCUCCGCAUUUAAAUAACGAAGAGGAAGUUUGGGGCAGUGACGGAAUUAUUUUCAUUGUUUCAACGAGAAGGAAUGCAGAAAUAAGAGCAGGAAUCUGCAGGCUCGCUCCCGGCCCCUGGCACAAAGCGUGCAGCAGCAGCAAGGCGCUGCCUCCCCGCCCCCUCCGCCAGCCCCGGGGAUGGAGAAAAACCCCGAGUCGCCACAAAACCAGAAUUGUUACUUCCACCUAAUGAUCCAUGAUAAAUCAGUAAACUCUUCUGCCUGCCUUAGACGGGAUAACCAAGGGCAGGAAGGGAGGGAAAACCAAUGCAAGGCACAACUUCAAUCUGUGCGAGCUCCAAAAAAAUGAGAUGAAUCCCCUUGGAAAAGGCAGCGAGACUGGAAGUGCCACCUCUGGGACACCUGAUAACCACCCCUGAAAGCCACCAGGCAGGUGUCAGAGGAGGGUGACAGGAAAAGGAGCCAGAAACUAAAACACAACAAGUUCCACCUCAGCCUGAGGAAGAACUUCCUUCCCAUGGAGGGGGCAGAGCCCUGAGCAGCCCAGGGAGGUUUUGGCUCUCCCUGCUGGAGCCACCCCAGCCCCACCUGGAUGUGUCCCCUGUCCCUGCUCCGGGUGACCCUGCCGGGCCAGGGGGGUUGGGCUGGGACCCUCCAGAAUUCCCUUCCCGCCCCAAAUCCCCCGGGACUCUGUGAGGAAAAAAAAUAAAUUGGUUUUAAUCAGCAGGUGAUAAAGAAGUGUUUGCUGGGAACAGAUCCACGGCCUGGAACACAGAGCCCCCAUCCCCUGACCACUGUCUGAGCACUUCACACUCACUUAAGGACAUCCUCAACCAGGACAUUAAGCUCAGAGGAAAAGCACUUUCCUCUUUUAAUUGCUUUUAUGAAUCACCACCGACAUCCAGACACUUCAUUUACUGGAGUCCAGCAACCCUGUUUUGCAAACACUGAAAUUUCAAAAUGUUAAAGGCCUCUGGGCUGGCAAAAAUAAUAAAACAAACAAAAAAAAUUAAAAAAUAGAGGUGUCAUUCUGUUUGGUUUGAUCCCAGCUUUGCAUUUAACUCAACCUGCUGCUCUGGGCCAGGCACUACACAAAAAACCCCACAACUGGCAGCAUCACCUGGCCCUGUGACCACCAGGAAUUCAGAAUUUAAGCAGAGAAAGUUUGAGGGGUUUCCACAACUUCUCGUAUUUCUCUAUUGUUCUGUGGUUUGUUUGGUUUGGGGUUUUUUUUUCUGGAGUGAAAUAACCACAACAGAAAGAGGCCUGAAAAUUGUUCUCAUAUUUAAAAAGGGGCCAAGUCUCUGCAGUCCAUUUGUAAAUAAAUAUAAAUAAAAUUGGUAUCCCCUCCACUAAUCCUCUCAGGGACAGGGCUUGCAGGAAAUUCUUGCAGAAA